UACGUAGGGUGCAAGCGUUAAUCGGAAUUACUGGGCGUAAAGCGUGCGCAGGCGGCUAUGCAAGACAGAUGUGAAAUCCCCGGGCUCAACCUGGGAACUGCAUUUGUGACUGCAUAGCGUAGAGUACGGUAGAGGGGGAUGGAAUUCCGCGUGUAGCAGUGAAAUGCGGUAGAUAUGCGGAGGAACACCGAUGGCGAAGGCAUCCCCUGGACCUGUACUGACGC
rnacentral:rRNA from 1 species